CUGCCUGCCCGGUGACAUUAGUUAAACGGCCGCGGUAUCCUGACCGUGCAAAGGAAGCAUAAUCAUUUGUUCUCUAAAUAAGGACUUGUAUGAAAGGCCACACGAGGGUUUAACUGUCUCUUACUUCCAAUCAGUGAAAUUGACCUUCCCGUGAAGAGGCGGGAAUAAAAUAAUAAGACGAGAAGACCCUAUGGAGCUUUAAUUAACCAGCUCAAAAGAAUUUACUUACCAGACCGACAGGAACAACACUCUCCUUCCAUGAGCUGACAAUUUGGGUUGGGGCGACCUCGGAGCAUAAAAGAACCUCCGAGUGAUAUUAAUCUAGACAUACCAGUCAAAAUGCUCACUUACUUAUUGAUCCAAAGCUUCUUUGAUCAACGGAACAAGUUACCCUAGGGAUAACAGCGCAAUCCUAUUCAAGAGUCCAUAUCGACAAUAGGGUUUACGACCUCGAUGUUGGAUCAGGACAUCCUAAUGGUGCAGCAGCUAUUAAGGGUUCGUUUGUUCAACGAUUAAAGUCCUACGUGAUCUGAG
rnacentral:rRNA from 1 species